rnacentral:rRNA from 1 species
GGCGCGAAAACUUGGCAAUGCGAGAAAUCGUGACCAGGGAACUCCAAGUGCAUCGGGUAAGACCGGUGCUUUUCUUGACUCUAAAUAGGUCUUGGAAUAAGGGGUGGGUAAGGACGGUGCCAGCCGCCGCGGUAAUACCGGCGCCUCAAGUGGUAGUCGCUUUUAUUGGGCCUAAAACGUCCGUAGCCGGUCUGAUACAUUCGUGGGUAAAUCAACCAGCUCAACUGGUUGAAUUCUGCGAGGACGGUCAGACUUGGGACCGGGAGAGGUGUGGGGUACGCUCAGGGUAGGGGUAAAAUCCUGUCAUCCUGAGCGGACCACCUGUUGCGAAGGCGCCACACUAGAACGGAUCCGACGGUCAGGGACGAAGCCUAGGGGCACGAACCGGAUUAGAUACCCGGGUAGUCCUAGGUGUAAACGCUGUGGACUUGUAUGUUGGGGGUGCUCCGAGCACUCUCAGUGUCGAAGCGAAGGUGAUAAGUCCACUGCCUGGGAAGUACGGUCGCAAGGCUGAA